AGAAGGUCGGAGUCUCUGAAUCUUCAACUUUACUUUCAGGUUAGAAGGGGCCGAUUUCCUCGGCUGCCAGGAGUCGGGAUGGCAGUGGAAGAACUAGGUAAGGUUUGUUGAAAAUUCAGACGCACGGACCAUACUGCCUCGCUCCUGUGGAAAGAAUAUAUAUUGGUUUUGCCUCUGAAGAACGAACGAGGGAACAAAGAUGGCAUUCCCUAGGGCGCUUCUUUGAGCAACUUUGAAGGCUCGGGGAUGGAGGAUUUGCAACAGCUCUUGGAGCCAAGAAGGUGGCAGGCACCAGCGAGGCCUGGGAAGGAACCUACAGAGGAUGGGCUGGAAGACCAAGAGCCACAGAGAUGAAGGAUUUUCAGAGGCCCUGAAGGGAAACCAGAAACAUAAGAUCCUUACCAUCCGGUGGUUGAAAAGGCUCCCCACAAGACACCCAGACCUCAAUAGGAUUUCUGAGAAUGGAGGUCAUCUCGCUGAAGAUCCUUCAAAAGAAAGACUUCUGUCCCUUCUUCGUUGAACAGCCUCCUAGCAGCAGAAG